rnacentral:rRNA from 1 species
AACGAAUGCUGGCGGCAGGCCUUACACAUGCAAGUCGAACGUGAAAGUCCUUCGGGAUGAGUAAAGUGGCGCACGGGUGAGUAACGCGUGGGAACAUGCCCUUCAGUACGGGAUAACAGCGGGAAACUGCUGCUAACACCGUAUAUUCCCUACGGGGGAAAGAUUUAUCGCUGAAGGAUUGGCCCGCGUUAGAUUAGCUAGUUGGUGAGGUAAUGGCUCACCAAGGCUACGAUCUAUAGCCGGUCUGAGAGGACGAUCGGCCACACUGGAACUGAGACACGGUCCAGACUCCUACGGGAGGCAGCAGUGGGGAAUAUUGGACAAUGGGCGAAAGCCUGAUCCAGCCAUGCCGCGUGAGUGUUGAAGGCCUUAGGGUUGUAAAGCUCUUUUGGCGGGGAAGAUAAUGACGGUACCCGCAGAAUAAGCCCCGGCUAACUUCGUGCCAGCCGCCGCCGUAA